AGGAACAGAUGCCAGAGGAGGUGGAGGAAUAGAAAGGACAGGCUGCUGCUACCCCUGACAAGAAUCACCUUAGGAGAUCACGGGAUUCCGUUAUACUGACGAUAACCCAUGGUUAUUCACAUCCGAGCACUGAUCCCUAGUGAAGCUGGGAUGAAGAUUUCAGAGCACCUAAAGGGGUGAUACUGCUGCGGCGGUGGCUGUGGAGGUGAGCUGUGGACAAUCAGCGGGGCAGAAUCAGGCCCAGAGGUGGAGAGGGGAAGGACGCAGCAGCUCUCUCCUCCGCAGGAAGUGGAUGGUGUUUAUGGCUUCUCCUCACCGUUGCAGAGUAAGGCUUCAAUUUUGGUUUUGCCACAAGCAUAUUUUGUGAUGUAGUUUUGUUUGUAUGAAUAUGCUUUCCUACUUCAAUAUUGUGUUUUAUUUAAUGAGCUUAUAAGAUUUUAUUGGUA